CCUACGGGUGGCAGCAGUGAGGAAUAUUGGUCAAUGGACGAGAGUCUGAACCAGCCAAGUAGCGUGAAGGAUGACUGCCCUAUGGGUUGUAAACUUCUUUUAUAUGGGAAUAAAACGUUCCACGUGUGGGAUUUUGUAUGUACCAUAUGAAUAAGGAUCGGCUAACUCCGUGCCAGCAGCCGCGGUAAUACGGAGGAUCCGAGCGUUAUCCGGAUUUAUUGGGUUUAAAUGGAGCGUAGGUGGAUUGUUAAGUCAGUUGUGAAAGUUUGCGGCUCAACCGUAAAAUUGCAGUUGAAACUGGCAGUCUUGAGUACAGUAGAGGUGGGCGGAAGUCGUGGUGUAGCGGUGAAAUGCUUAGAUAUCACGAAGAACUCCGAUUGCGAAGGCAGUUCACUGGACUGCAACUGACACUGAGGCUCGAAAGUGUGGGUAUCAAACAGGAUUAGAUACCCUGGUAGUC
rnacentral:rRNA from 1 species